UCUUAUGGAUGAGCAAACGAAGUGCUUUCUUGAUAUGGCAUCUACUCCUGGUGAAGAUGCUGUGAA
rnacentral:pre_miRNA from 1 species